AAUGUUGUCAAUAGAAAAAAAAGUUGC
rnacentral:piRNA from 1 species